rnacentral:lncRNA from 1 species
CUAGGUUCUCUUCAAGUUUCCAAAGUAGGAAACCUCUAAAGAUCCACACCCACUAGUGUAGUGAGAAGGAUGAAGGAAUAACCAAAAGGGUGUAAGAGAUGUUAGUAAAACCCCCCUUUGGUGGCCGGCCUUUGUGUAGUUUAGAGAGCUAUUUUUCUUUUGCCUCUUUGUUGUUUUAACACACAAAAACCCUAAUGAACAAUAUCUUAUAAAGUUCCUUAUAUAUAGACAAAAGAAACCUAGUCAACACUUGACUAAAUAUCUCACCCUUUCCACCUUAAAGUGGCCGGGCUCUUUGUUGUUUGUUUGGGCUUUGGGCUUUUAUUAUUUCAAGUCAUCCAAUGCUUGAAUAAAAGCCACAUGGGUUUAGGCCCAAUGGGCCCAAUUAAACCCGAACGUUUCUUAAGCCCAAAACGAUCUUUAUCGCUUUUAUGAUUUCUUUAGACUUUCUAAAUUAAUCACAACAAUUAAUUAAUCCAAUUAAUUAUUUCCAUCAUCCAUUAGUUACUCACUACAAUAGUGUUGUGGCGAACAAUCUUUUAGGUUCUAAUUAGCAAGGCAGUGAGGUGAUUGGCAUCAAUCCAAUUGCUUAUAU